rnacentral:misc_RNA from 1 species
UACGUAGGGGGCAAGCGUUGUCCGGAUUUAUUGGGCGUAAAGAGCGUGUAGGCGGCCAGAUAGGUCUGUUGUAAAAACUCGAGGCUCAACCUCGAGACGCCGAUGGAAACCAUCUGGCUAGAGUCCGGAAGAGGAGAGUGGAAUUCCUGGUGUAGCGGUGAAAUGCGCAGAUAUCAGGAAGAACACCCGUGGCUAAGGCGGCUCUCUAGUACGGUACUGACGCUGAGACGCGAAAGCGUGGGGAGCGAACAGG